UGACGCUGAGGCGCGAAAGCGUGGGGAGCAAACAGGAUUAGAUACCCUGGUAGUCCACGCUGUAAACGAUGAAUACUAGGUGUGGGGGGACUGACCCCCUCCGUGCCGCAGUUAACACAAUAAGUAUUCCACCUGGGGAGUACGACCGCAAGGUUGAAACUCAAAGGAAUUGACGGGGGCCCGCACAAGCAGUGGAUUAUGUGGUUUAAUUCGAAGCAACGCGAAGAACCUUACCAGGGCUUGACAUCCUACUAACGAAGCAGAGAUGCAUUAGGUGCCCUUCGGGGAAAGUAGAGACAGGUGGUGCAUGGUUGUCGUCAGCUCGUGUCGUGAGAUGUUGGGUUAAGUCCCGCAACGAGCGCAACCCUUGUUGCUAGUUGCUACGCAAGAGCACUCUAGCGAGACUGCCGUUGACAAAACGGAGGAAGGUGGGGACGACGUCAAAUCAUCAUGCCCCUUAUGUCCUGGGCUACACACGUAAUACAAUGGCGUUUAACAGAGGGAAGCAAUACUGUGAAGUGGAGCAAAUCCCUAAAAGACGUCUCAGUUCGGAUUGCAGGCUGCAACUCGCCUGUAUGAAGUCGGAAUGCUAGUAAUCGCG
rnacentral:rRNA from 1 species